AUGUGGCCUUGUAGUCGAUGUGGCCUUGUAGUCGAUGUGCCCUUGUUAGAAGAAGUCUGUCAAUGCAAAAAGCCUGACACAAAAGAGAAGAAACCUGAGGCCAAGAAGGCUGGCGAUGAUGCCCCUGCCACUGGUGCUGGUGCGGGUACCGCCAAAAAGGGUGACCCUAAGGUUAAAAAGACCAAGAAGGGGAAGCCCCACUGCAGCCGGAACCCUGUCCUGGUUAGAGGGAUCAGCAGGUAUUCCCGAUCUGCUAUGUAUUCUAGAAAGGCCUUGUACAAAAGAAAGUACUCAGCUGCCAAAGCCAAGGUUGAAAAGAAGAAGAAAAAGGAGAAGGUCCUUGCUACUGUCACAAAACCGGUUGGUGGUGACAAGAACGGCGGUACCCGGGUGGUGAAGCUUCGAGAAAUGCCCAGGUAUUAUCCUACCGAAGAUGUGCCUCGGAAGCUGCUGAGCCAUGGCAAAAAACUCUUCAGUUAGCACGGGAGAAGGCUUCGGGCCAGCAUCACUCCUGGGACCGUCCUGAUUAUCCUCACAGGGCGCCACAGGGGGAAGAGAGUGGUUUUCCUGAAGCACCUGGCCAGCGGCUUGCUACUUGUGACUGGACCUCUUGCCCUCAACAGAGUUCCUCUGCGAAGAACACACCAGAAAUUUGUCAUCGCCACCUCUACAAAAGUUGACAUCAGCAAGGUUAAAAUCCCCAAACACCCGACUGACGCUUACUUCAAGAAGAAGCAGCUGCGCAAGCCCAGGUACCAGGAGGGGGAGAUCUUCGACACUGAGAAGGAGAAAUACGAGAUUACAGAGCAGCGAAAGACUAAUCAGAAAGCUGUGGAUUCGCCGAUUUUGCCAAAGAUCAAAGCUGUUCCUCAGCUCCAGAGCUACCUGCGACCUCAGUUCUCUCUGACGAAGGGGAUGUAUCCUUACAAACUGGUUUUCUAAAUUGCUAACAACCUAAUUAAACAACUUCAUGUGUUAAAAAAAA